UACUAAGCGGAGGAAAAGAAACUAACUAGGAUUCCCUUAGUAGCGGCGAGCGAACAGGGAAAAGCCCAGCACCGAAUCCCGCUGUCGGAAACGGCGGCCGGGAAAUGUGGUGUUUGGAAGGGUCCGUUAUCCCGAGAAUAAGCAGCGCGUCCAAGUCCAUCUUGAACGGGGCCAUUACCCAUAGAGGGUGCCAGGCCCGUAGCGACCGCUGCUGUUUUCGGGAGGAUCUCUUCCGAGAGUCGGGUUGCUUGAGAGUGCAGCCCUAAGUGGGUGGUAAACUCCAUCUAAGGCUAAAUAUAACCACGAGACCGAUAGCGAACAAGUACCGUGAGGGAAAGUUGAAAAGAACUUUGAAGAGAGAGUUCAAUAGUACGUGAAACCGUUCAGGGGUAAACCUGAGAAACCCGAAAGUUCGAAAGGGGAGAUUCAUUCGCGUUUCGAAGUACGGCGUAAUGCGGUGCGACGAACGACGUUCGCGUCGUUCGCGUUUUCCGCGUGACGAUCCGCGAUCGAACGCGUGCACUUCUCCCCUAGUAGGACGUCGCGAUCCGUUGGGUGUCGGUCUAGGGCCCGCGGUGGAGCCCGCGAGCACGGUUCGCCGUUGUUCGCGGACCCGCGGUGUUUCCCGGCCGACUCGCUCGACGGUCUAACAACGACGUGAGGCCGCGAUUUAUUCGCGUUCGACUAGCGGCAAGCUCGUCUUUCGAAUCGGUGAUCGGACCUAGCGCCGAUCCCGAUCGGCGGCGGCUGUGGCCGUUAUGUUCUCGAACAGACCUCGUACGUCGAUCGGCGACGCUAUAGCUUUGGGUACUUUCAGGACCCGUCUUGAAACACGGACCAAGGAGUCUAGCAUGUGCGCGAGUCAUUGGGACACGACUAAACCUAAAGGCGUAAUGAAAGUAAAAGUCGGCCUAGCGCCGACCGAGGGAAGAUGGGCGAUCGUUCGCGGUCGCCCCGCACUCCCGGGGCGUCUCGUUCUCAUUGCGAGAAGAGGCGCACCAAGAGCGUACACGCUGGGACCCGAAAGAUGGUGAACUAUGCCUGGUCAGGACGAAGUCAGGGGAAACCCUGAUGGAGGUCCGUAGCGAUUCUGACGUGCAAAUCGAUCGUCGGAACUGGGUAUAGGGGCGAAAGACCAAUCGAACUAUCUAGUAGCUGGUUCCCUCCGAAGUUUCCCUCAGGAUAGCUGGCGCUCGUAGCAUACGAGUCUCAUCCGGUAAAGCGAAUGAUUAGAGGCAUUGGGGUCGAAACGACCUCAACCUAUUCUCAAACUUUAAAUGGGUGAGAUCUCCGGCUUGCUCGAACUUGAAGCCGCGAGAUAUCGGAUCAGAGUGCCAAGUGGGCCAUUUUUGGUAAGCAGAACUGGCGCUGUGGGAUGAACCAAACGCCGAGUUAAAGCGCCUAAAUCGACGCUUAUGGGAUACCAUGAAAGGCGUUGGUAACUUAAGACAGCAGGACGGUGGCCAUGGAAGUCGGAAUCCGCCAAGGAGUGUGUAACAACUCACCUGCCGAAGUUACUAGCCCUGAAAAUGGAUGGCGCUGAAGCGUCGUGCUUAUACUCGGCCGUCAGCGGCAUGUGCGAUCGUCUCGAACGGUCAUGAAGCCCUGACGAGUAGGAGGGUCGCGGCGGUGUGCGCAGAAGGGCUGGCCGUGAGGCCGUCUGGAGCCGCCGUCGGUGCAGAUCUUGGUGGUAGUAGCAAAUACUCCGGCGAGGACCUGGAGGACUAACGUGGAGAAGGGUUUCGUGUGAACAGCCGUUGCACACGAGUCAGUCGAUCCUAAGCCCUAGGCGAAAGCCGAUGUUGAUGCGGUGUUGUUUCAUUUGAAAAAAUUUAUUUUUAAUUAAAUAGACGCACCCGUUGGGCGAAAGGGAAUCCGGUUCCUAUUCCGGAACCCGGCAGCGGAACCGUCUCCAAAUCGGGCCCUCGCAAGAGAGUUCGUCGGGGCAACCCAACAUGACCCGGAGACGCCGUCGGGAGAUCCGGGAAGAGUUUUCUUUUCUGCAUGAGCGUUCGAGUUCCAUGGAAUCCUCUAGCAGGGAGAUAUGGUUUGGAACGCGAAGAGCACCGCAGUUGCGGCGGUGUCCGGAUCUUCCCCUCGGACCUUGAAAAUCCGGGAGAGGGCCACGUGGAAAUGUCGCGCCGGCUCGUACCCAUAUCCGCAGCAGGUCUCCAAGGU
rnacentral:rRNA from 1 species